rnacentral:rRNA from 1 species
CGAUUUAUCGGGAUAGUGGCGGAUGGGUGAGUAACGCGUAAGUAACCUGCCCUUAAGUAGGGGAUAACUCUGAGAAAUUGGAGCUAAUACCUUAUGUGGUGAUGGAGUUAAGGCUUCAUCAUUAAAGCCUUAGGGUGCUUGAGGAUGGGCUUGCGUCCGAUUAGCUAGUUGGUAGGGUAAGGGCUUACCAAGGCGAUGAUCGGUAGCUGGUUUGAGAGGACGGUCAGCCACACUGGGAUUGAGAUACGGCCCAGACUCCUACGGGAGGCAGCAGCAAGGAAUAUUGUGCAAUGGGCGAAAGCCUGACACAGCGACGCCGCGUGAGGGAAGAAGGCCUUCGGGUUGUAAACCUCUUUUCUCAGGGAAGAAUAAUGACGGUACCUGGGGAAUAAGUCACGGCUAACUACGUGCCAGCAGCCGCGGUAAUACGUAGGUGGCAAGCGUUAUCCGGAUUUACUGGGCGUAAAGAGGGCGUAGGCGGUUUUUCAAGUCGGAUGUAAAAGUUUUCAGCUUAACCGAGAAAAGUCAUUCGAUACUGUUAAGCUUGAGGGCAGCAGAGGAAGGUGGAACUCCCGGUGUAGCGGUGAUAUGCGUAGAUAUCGGGAGGAACACCAGUGGCGAAGGCGACCUUCUAGGCUGUUCCUGACGUUGAGACCCGAAAGCGUGGGGAGCGAAACGGAUUAGAUACCCGUGUAGUCCACGCCGUAAACGUUGGACACUAGGUAUGGGGAGUAUCG